rnacentral:rRNA from 1 species
GUGGGGAAUAUUGCGCAAUGGGCGAAAGCCUGACGCAGCGACGCCGCGUGAGGGAUGAAGGUUUUCGGAUCGUAAACCUCUGUCAGAAGGGAAGAAACUACAUUGUGCUAAUCAGCAGUGUACUGACGGUACCUUCAAAGGAAGCACCGGCUAACUCCGUGCCAGCAGCCGCGGUAAUACGGAGGGUGCAAGCGUUAAUCGGAAUUACUGGGCGUAAAGCGCACGUAGGCUGUAGUGUAAGUCAGGGGUGAAAUCCCACGGCUCAACCGUGGAACUGCCUUUGAUACUGCACAACUGGAAUCCAGGAGAGGGUGGCGGAAGUCCAGGUGUAGGAGUGAAAUCCGUAGAUAUCUGGAGGAACAUCAGUGGCGAAGGCGGCCACCUGGACCGGUACUGACGCUGAGGCGCGAAAGCGUGGGGAGCAAACAGGAUUAGAUACCCCUGUAGUCC